rnacentral:rRNA from 1 species
UGGGGAAUAUCGGACAAUGGGCGAAAGCCUGAUCCAGCCAUGCCGCGUGUGUGAAGAAGGUCUUCGGAUUGUAAAGCACUUUAAGUUGGGAGGAAGGGCAGUAAGUUAAUACCUUGCUGUUUUGACGUUACCGACAGAAUAAGCACCGGCAAACUCUGUGCCAG